CCCAGAGGUAUUGAUUGGUGAUAAAUCGAUGUGCUCUGUACAUUGAACCAUUUGAUUACACCAACCUACGCGGAUGCGUAGGUUUUUUUU
rfam:Brenneria sp. EniD312 chromosome, whole genome shotgun sequence.